GUCUACGGCCAUGCUACCCUGAACAAGCCCAGUGUGUGAUCUCAGAAGCUGAGCAGAGUCGGGCCUGGUUAUUACUUGGAUGGGAGACCACUCAGGAAGACCAGGUGCUGUAGGCA
rnacentral:rRNA from 1 species